rnacentral:rRNA from 1 species
CUCAGUAACACGUGGAUAAUCUGCCCUUAGGUGGAGGAUAAUCUCGGGAAACUGAGGAUAAUAUUCCAUAGAUCUAGGAUGCUGGAAUGCAUCUAGAUUGAAAGCUCCGGCGCCUAAGGAUGAGUCUGCGGACUAUCAGGUUGUAGUCAGGGUAAAGACCUGACUAGCCUACGACGGAUACGGGUUGUGAGAGCAAUAACCCGGAGACGAUAUCUGAGACACGAUAUCGGGCCCUACGGGGCGCAGCAGGCGCGAAAACUUCACACUGUGCGAAAGCGCGAUGAGGGAAUCCCAAGUGUUUGCUCGUAAGAGUAAACUGUUUCUUUGUUUAAAACGCAGAGAGAGUAAGGGCUGGGUAAGACGGGUGCCAGCAAAAAACAGUAAUACCUGCAGCUCAAGUGGUGAUCAUUAUUAUUGGGCCUAAAACGUCCGUAGCCGGUUUAGUAAAUGCCUGGGUAAAUCGUGUAGCUUAACUAUACGACUUCCGGGUAGACUACUAAACUUGAGACCGGGAGAGGCUAGAGGUACUCCUGGGGUAGAGGUGAAAUUCUGUAAUCCUAGGGGGACCACCAGUGGCGAAGGCGUCUAGCUAGAACGGGUCUGACGGUGAGGGACGAAGCCCUGGGGCACAAACCGGAUUAGAUACCCGGGUAGUCCAGGGUGUAAACGCUGCUUGCUUGAUGUUAGUUGGGCUCCGAGCCCAACUAGUGUCGGAGAGAAGUGCCCCCGCUCCCUGGGAAGUACGGUCGCAAGGCUGAAACUAAAG